rnacentral:rRNA from 1 species
GCGCCCCCUUGUGGUCGGUGUCCAGGUGGUCCAUGGCUGUCUUCAGCUCGUGUCGUGAGAUGUUGGGUUAAUUCCCGCAACGAGCGCAACCCUUGUCCCGUGUUGCCACCAGGCCCUUCGGGGUGCUGGGGACUCACAGGAGACCGCCGGGGUCAACUCGGAGGAAGGUGGGGACGACGUCAAGUCAUCAUGCCCCUUAUGUCUUGGGCUGCACACGUGCUACAAUGGCCGGUACAAUGAGCUGCGAUACCGCGAGGUGGAGCGAAUCUCAAAAAGCCGGUCUCAGUUCGGAUUGGGGUCUGCAACUCGACCCCAUGAAGUCGGAGUCGCUAGUAAUCGCAGAUCAGCAUUGCUGCGGUGAAUACGUUCCCGGGCCUUGUACACACCGCCCGUCACGUCACGAAAGUCGGUAACACCCGAAGCCGGUGGCCCAACCCCUUGUGGGAGGGAGCU